rnacentral:ncRNA from 1 species
UAAAAAUUUGAUUCCAGUUUUUAAGUUUGAUUUAUAUUUUUAUUAUAUGUAAAUUUUUGUGUUAAUUUUUUUUUAAUAGGGAAAUUAAGAAUAUUUAGUGGCAAUAAUUAGAUUUAUAUAAUAAAAGAAAUUUUGAUAUAGGAAUAUAAAAUAGUAUUGGUAAAAUUUGUGCCAGCAAUCGCGGUUAAACAGGUGAUACAAUUAAACUUAUAUUUGAUAGUAAUAAAUAUGAUUAAUUAUAAUUUAAAGUUAAGUUUAUUAGGUGAAAUUAGAAAUUUAAAUUAAAUUAGAAAAAUUAAAUUAUAAGAUUGCGAAAUUCUAUUAUUAAACUAGGAUUAGAUACCCUAUUAUAAUGAAUGUAAAUGAAAAUAUCAGGGGAGUAGUAGUUUAUGGUCUUGAAAUUUAAAGAAUUUGGCGGUAUUUUAGUCUUUUCAGAGGAACCUGUCCUAUAAUUGAUGAUCCACGAUUAAUUUAACUUAAUUUAAUAGUUUGUAUAUCGUCGUAGGUUGAAUAUCUUUAAAAAGUGUAUAAUAUUCAAAAUUUAGUAUAUAUAAAAGAAAUCAGAUCAAGGUGUAGCUUAUAAUUAAGGAGAGAUGGGUUACAAUAAAAUUAUUUAUAAUGGUUAUAAUAAUUAAAAUUAUUAUAUAAAGUGGAUUUGAAAGUAAUAUAUUUUAGUUAAAACAUAUGAUUUAAGCUCUAUAAUAUGUACAUAUCGCCCGUCACUUUCAUUGAAAAUUAAGGUGAAAUAAGUCGUAACAUAGUAGGCGUACCGGAAGGUGUGCCUGGGCUGAG